AUUGUGUGGCUGGACUCGGCCGCCGCUGCGGUGUGAGGCGCGUGUUCGGGCUCUCGCCGUCCCCGCACCCGCACCGCGGCUUUUGCCUUGCGGUCCGCCGUUCGAUAGCCAGCCUUCGGGGCCCCUGCCCGCCACGGACAUGCCGCGCGUCUACAUAGGACGCCUUAGUUACAACGUCCGGGAGAAGGACAUCCAGCGCUUUUUCAGUGGCUAUGGCCGCCUCCUCGAAAUAGACCUCAAAAAUGGGUACGGCUUCGUGGAGUUCGAGGACUCCCGCGACGCCGACGACGCCGUUUACGAGCUGAACGGCAAAGAGCUCUGCGGCGAGCGCGUGAUCGUGGAGCACGCACGGGGCCCGCGCCGCGAUCGCGACGGCUACAGCUACGGAAGCCGCAUGACCAAUGGGGCUGAGGCUGUGUCCACUGAGGCUAAGAUGACUGCCUUUCCUGAUUGGCCUUGGCUUUUCCAUACAUUCUGUGACCCUUGCCCUAUGACCCUUUGGCUGACCUUACCGGAAGCCAUGACGACAGCAGCCUUUUGCCAUUAGACGCAGGGUGAUGGUGAGGAUUCCAAGGGUUAGACAAAACUGGUUAAUCUGAACUAGGUGACUGUUACCUUGCGUGUUUUGUGGCCAAACCACCACCAAAAACCUCACACUGUGAUGUGGUGGAGGUGGAUACAGCAGUCGGAGAACCUCUGGCAGAGACAAAUAUGGACCACCUGUUCGUACAGAAUUCAGGCUUAUUGUAGAAAACCUUUCUAGUCGUUGCAGUUGGCAAGAUUUAAAGGAUUUCAUGAGACAAGCAGGUGAAGUAACCUAUGCGGAUGCUCACAAAGAACGCACAAAUGAAGGCGUGAUUGAGUUCCGUUCCUAUUCUGACAUGAAGCGUGCUUUGGAUAAACUGGAUGGUACAGAAAUAAAUGGCAGAAAUAUUAGGCUCAUUGAGGAUAAACCACGAACGAGCCAUAGGCGAUCUUAUUCUGGAAGCAGAUCAAGGUCACGGUCUAGAAGAAGGUCACGAAGUAGGAGUCGCAGGAGCAGCCGCAGUAGAUCUCGAAGCAUCUCAAAAAGUCGCUCCCGAUCCAGGUCUCGGAGCAAAGGUCGAUCACGUUCUCGAUCAAAAGGCAGGAAAUCUAGAUCAAAAAGCAAAUCUAAGCCAAAGUCUGAUCGGGGCUCCCGUUCGCGCUCUCGAAGCAGAUCUAAGGAGUAUGAAAAAUCUCGAAGCAGGUCUCGUUCUCGAUCUCGUUCCCCCAAAGAAAAUGGGAAAGGUGAUAUAAAGUCAAAAUCUAGAUCAAGAAGCCAGUCUCGUUCAAAUUCACCCCUACCUGCUCCACCCUCAAAGGCACGUUCUGUGUCCCCUCCACCAAAAAGAGCUUCAAGAUCCCGCUCUAGAUCUCGUUCAAAGUCCAGAUCACGGUCCAGAUCGAGUUCCAGAGAUUAACCUAGAACUCUAUAUUCUUUGCACACUAUUAUGGAACACUUUCCUACUUGCUUAGGCAGUUACUCUUCCAUGUUUGUACUUGGCCUCUUCUGCAAGAGGAAUCUCCUGAAAAUGGGGGCACACAGAAAUUUGAUUUGUGGCCAAAUUUGAUGAAAAAAUGAGGUUCUAAAGAAUGGCAUGAAGUCAAAGACCCUCUCCCUUCUUUGUAGAAUUAAGAUAACUUUGAUUUUAUAGCUUUUGAGCUAAAAUAACUUUUGUAAAGAUUAAGCUCAUUUAGAUUUUUUUUAAGUAUUUCAGCAGGAUCUGCUGCAGGGAUUUUUGUUGUUUUGUUUGCUUUUAAAUUAACCGUUUCAAGCUUUGAAUACCUAAGGCUUUAGAGGGAGAUCCCAAUUUUCAAUUAUGUUGGCUUUUUAUAAAGCUUGAGUUAUGUAAGACUUCAAUAAAAAUUUGCUACCAAGAUGAUUGCCUUACUGAAUAGGUCACUAUUAAAUUCCUUUAAAUAUUGAUAAUUUGCUCUUUGUGGAAACAAUGUAAAUUCUACAUGUGUAAAAGAAGGCAAGCCUCAGACCAGCAAUAAAUUAUUCCAUUUGGAUAACAUUUUGUUCUGUUAAUCAAAUUUGCCAAAGUCUAUCUGCCCCUUUGAGUUAAGUUAAAAAUAAAAGGUGUUUUGUAGUCAAUUACAUGAUUUUUGCCUAAGUUAGUAGAUUUUAAAUAAUGAAACUUUUCAAACAAAUUUGAUCAAACUCUUGAAGUUCUUCACACUUGGGAUCCCGUUUAGCCUAGUAAUUCCACUUUCUGGGAGUGGUCAGUGUAAUUGGUGUUUUGUUAGAGUAUGGUUCUAUGGUUUUUAAUGUUAUAUAAAAAUGGAAGUAGCCUUUCUUUGAUUGGAAAUUGAGCGUAUUGUUCAAAGCGGAAAAGCAAAUACUGCAUUUUCUGCUGGAAGAUCAUUACAUUUAACAGGCACUUAACAGGUUGCUUGGUAAGAUGAGUUGCUGAUUGGAGUAAAAUUCUACCCAACAAUCAGUCCUUGUAGUUGAUGAGGUUGUGUAAUAAUUGGUUAGAUCAUCUUUGUAACUUUACAACGUAUGGUUGGCUUGAGAAGAAUUUACAUGGGUAAACCCGAAGCUUUCUGUACUUUAUUAUGAAGUGUAAUAAUAUGCUGUGGAAGCCAAAUUAUACUGCAAAUUUGUAGGAGAUACUGGGUAACCAGUUAGUCCAUAUAUGUGUAGACCUAAUUAGUUGAAAUUGCAGUUUGAGAAAUGAAUUACCUUAUAUCUUUUUGUUCAAGUACCAUAACUCAUUUAAAAGCACUCAUUAACCUUGGUUUGAAACUAAGAUGUAGGUUGACUCCGCUUUCUUUUCUUCUAGGAGCUGUCACUGUAAGGUAUCGGGCUGGGUUGUACUAUAUAGUAGGGCAUGGUGAUAACAGUGUCAUCAUGCCACAGGUGUGACUAGAAAGCAUGAUAAUCUACUAGAGUUGGUUUGUAGGUUCAAAUAAUCCAGAAGGCAUACCUGAUAAAAUGAGGCUGCUUGAAAAAAACUGAGUCAAAGAUUUUAGGUGUCAAAAUCACAGAGUAGCUGGGAGUACUUGAUAAUGAGUAGAAAGACUUGUUUUUGAGAAAUUUCUGGGCUUCCUGUUAUAAAAUCUUAGAGCCUACUCUUAGGAAUAUUGUGCCCUAAAAGGUUGAUGCUUCUUCCAUGACCUUAUUUUCUUUACUUUCAUAGUUUUUAAAAUUUAGGUAAUAAGAAAUGGGUUUUUUUCCUGUAUAAACUUCAGAAUUUGAGAGAAGACACUGGUGUCAUAGUUCAUUAUUUUGCCUACUUGAAAAAACAAAUUACAAUUCUUACGUGAAGAGGCACGUCUCCAGCUGGCUUUCACAAUUUGGUUUAAGAAUUGGCUUUGACCAAAGUUCUCUUGUUUUCAGGGAAAAAACAAAAGCUUUUAAAACCACAGCCUUUUAAAAAGGAAGGAGGGGGGAAUAUCACAGUGAAAUUUGACUUUGUAAAGUCAUCCUUCAACGGGGCUUUCUUGUGUUAGUAUAACAUCACAUAGUCAUAGGCAGGUUUUGUCUACGUUAUUAGCUGCCCCCAAAGUGGGUAAUUGUAAGAUAAAUGCCUACACCCAUAACUUUUCUGGUAAUGGCAAAGUCCAGCUUAGUGAAAAUCUAGUCCUAGUCCAUACCUGUGGACCUCUACAUCAUUGAAUAUGCUAAAGCCCUAGAACGAUGGCCCACUUGAGAACAGAGUUGACUGAAAUGUUUAGUUCCUUGCUAACUUACAAGUAGGAUCUGAGCAUCUACACCAUGCCAUGUGUACAUCUGUGGCCAAAUAGAAUAUUAAACUGAAAGGGCAAAAACAAAUGAGCAACAUCAUGAUUCCCCUUUCUUUUACCUGAUAAUGUUGAUUGACAUGCCAUAGUGCCUUUAAGGCCAGUUUGAGUCCUACCAGUUCCUGUGAUUUAUGUUCCAGUCCUGUGUUAAUUACCUUCAUCUUGGUAUCUUUUUUUUUUCUCCACUUUGUUAACCCCCUUUAUGCUUUAUCUCCUCAAUAAAAUGCUUACCGAGGGAAA